AGUGAACGCUGGCGGUAGGCCUAACACAUGCAAGUCGAACGGCAGCACAGUAAGAGCUUGCUCUUACGGGUGGCGAGUGGCGGACGGGUGAGGAAUACAUCGGAAUCUACUUUUUCGUGGGGGAUAACGUAGGGAAACUUACGCUAAUACCGCAUACGACCUACGGGUGAAAGCAGGGGAUCUUCGGACCUUGCGCGAUUGAAUGAGCCGAUGUCGGAUUAGCUAGUUGGCGGGGUAAAGGCCCACCAAGGCGACGAUCCGUAGCUGGUCUGAGAGGAUGAUCAGCCACACUGGAACUGAGACACGGUCCAGACUCCUACGGGAGGCAGCAGUGGGGAAUAUUGGACAAUGGGCGCAAGCCUGAUACAGCCAGAGCGAGUGGGUGAAGAAGGCCUUCGGGUUGUAAAGCCCUUUUGUUGGGAAAGAAAAGCAGCAGGUUAAUACCCCGCUGUUCUGACGGUACCCAAAGAAUAAGCACCGGCUAACUUCGUG
rnacentral:rRNA from 1 species